GGAGAGAUGGCUGAGUGGUUGAUAGCUCCGGUCUUGAAAACCGGUAUAGUUCGAAACAAAGAACUAUCGA
rnacentral:tRNA from 1 species